rnacentral:rRNA from 1 species
UACGGAGGGUGCAAGCGUUAUCCGGAUUCACUGGGUUUAAAGGGUGCGUAGGUGGGCAGGUAAGUCAGUGGUGAAAUCUUUGGGCUUAACCCGAAAACUGCCAUUGAUACUAUUUGUCUUGAAUAUUGUGGAGGUCAGCGGAAUAUGUCAUGUAGCGGUGAAAUGCUUAGAUAUGACAUAGAACACCAAUUGCGAAGGCAGCUGGCUACACAUAUAUUGACACUGAAGCACGAAAGCGUGGGGAUCAAACAGG